GAUGAACGCUGGCGGCGUGCCUAAUACAUGCAAGUCGAGCGAACAGACGAGGAGCUUGCUCCUCUGACGUUAGCGGCCGACGGGUGAGUAACACGUGGAUAACCUACCUAUAAGACUGGGAUAAUUUCGGGAAACCGGAGCUAAUACCGGAUAAUAUAUUGCACCGCAUGGUUCAAUAGUGAAAGACGGUUUUGCUGUCACUUAUAGAUGGAUCCGCGCCGGAUCAGCUAGUUGGUAAGGUAACGGCUUACCAAGGCGACGAUGCGUAGCCGACCUGAGAGGGUGAGAUCCAAACCUGGAACGGAGACACGGUCAAGACUCCUAGGGGAGGCAGCAGUAGGGAAUCUUCCGCAAUGGGCGAAAGCCUGACGGAGCAACGCCGCGUGAGUGGUGAAGGUCUUCGGAUCGUAAAACUCUGUUAUUAGGGAAGAACAAAUGUGUAAGUAACUAUGCACGUCUAGACGGUACCUAAGCAGAAAGCCACGGCUAAAUACGUG
rnacentral:rRNA from 1 species